AGGGAGGGGGAGGAGGUGAGACUGACAGAGUUAGACAGGAAGAACAGAUUUACUGACUAAUGACUCGGGCAGGAGAGCAGACAGAUUCGGACACGACACAUAAACACAGACCGAGAAAAGGACAGGUGAAGACUGUGUAACUGGCUGUUUAACACACUUACACACACAACAGAUGGAGUUUCUGCCGUUCAGAUCUGAUGCCCCUCACGGUUAGAGGGCAGUGUAAUGGCAAUUGCAGCCCUAUUCCGGGGCAAGUGGGGGCAGAAGGGUCAUGUCCUCAGUCCUAAAGCCCCCCCUGCAGCCCCACUUCCCCAUCACUGUGAUGAUGAAGAUGACGAUGAUGAGCGGUUGAACACGCGAGUGCCAAUUAGACGCAACUCUCGUUUUUACCGUUCCAUGAGGAAGAAAAGACACUCACAAGGACAAGCAAAUGAACAAGAAAGCCCCACCCACUCACCCAGAGCACCACGUGACUCCAGCAGGACCAGAGCUGCAAUCAUGUCUCCACCAUCAUACACACAACGCCCUCCAUUGCCUACACAAUAUGGAGCAGCGUUGCCAGGCAACGGGAGCACCAAAGAAGGAGGCGCUUCCAGUUGGUCACCGUUAGAGACAGGAGAUUGGCGACUCAGAGGAGAGAUGGAGGAGCUGAGCACACACACGAGCCGAGCCUGCAGCAUGCAGGACUCUGAUACAUACACACACACUCACACACAACAUAUGGUCAGCACACACAACAACACAAACAGGAUGGUGACAAAGGGAGAGACGGCACAGGAGAACUUUAGCCACAGUUUAAACAUAGUGAAGAAUAUCGCAUUCCUGUAUCAGGAGUAUCGGGACUCUUCAGAACAGCAGGAAAUUGAACAGAGGAGGCAGAGAGAUGCUUUUCCUGAGAAAGGCCUACAGGAAGGGUCAGGAGUCAAUACAGGGUCAGGGGUUACAGUGGGGUCAGGGGUCACAGCUCCUGCACUUCAGCUGCAGUUGCGAAACUCGUCUCGCUCUCUGACUUUAUGGCAGAAUCUCGAGGCUGUACAGGAGAGUGGCCUUUUACACACACUCUCACAACGAGAGGUUAUACUGCAGGAGGCAAUGUUUGAGUUGGUGACAUCCGAAGCGUCGUAUUAUAAAAGUCUGGAGCUUUUGGAAUCUCAUUUCCUUCAGAACCCACUGCUCAUUAACACACUCAGCCAAUCAGACAUGCACUUCCUGUUCUCCAACAUCGCUGAGGUCAUGAAGGCGAGCGAAAGGUUCUUGAUGGAUCUGGAACACCGGAUUGAGGAGUCGCUGCAGAUCUCUGAUGUUUGUGACAUUGUUCAUCAACAUGCUGUUAACCAUUUUGACGUCUUCAUCAGUUACGUAAUCAAUCAGGUUUAUCAGGAGAAGAACUACAGACGCAUUCUACAGGAGAACUCUGUGUUUAAGGAGAACAUGGCUAUGCUGGAGAAUCAACCUAAAGUUAGAGGUCUGUCAUUCACCUCGUUCCUGAUUCUCCCCUUCCAGCGAAUCACACGACUUAAACUGCUGGUGCAGAACAUUCUGAAGAAGGUGGAGGAGAACACAGACAGAGAGAGAAAUGCUAUAAAGGCCCAUCAGGAGCUUGAGCGGAUUGUGAAGGAGUGUAAUGAAGGUGUAAAGAAGAUGAGCCGCACUGAGGAGCUGAUCAGCAUCGAGAAAACACUGGAGUUCAAAUCGAAGUCAGUGCCAGUGAUAUCUCACUCUCGAUGGCUCCUGAAGAAGGGCGAGGUUCUGCAGAUGUCCGGACCGAAGAGUACUCGCACUAUGCGAAGCCGAAAACUGUUCCAUCCCCUUUACCUGUUUCUCUUCAAUAACCUGCUGCUCAUUACCAAGCGCAGCUCCAGUGGGGAGAAGUUUCAGGUGUUGGACUCAUGUAGUCGCUCCAUGUUGAGGACAGAGGACAUGGAGGAUCAGGGACAGGUACUGGCAUUUACAUUUGUGCUCAAACUGCUGGAAAAUCAAGAGGAUCGUCCAAUUAGCUACAUGCUAAAGACCAACAGCAUGAGUGAGAAACUGCGCUGGAUGUGCGCGCUCACCCCAAACCGCAGAACACGAUUCCUCUCAGCCAGCGCACACACACCAGGUACACACACACCAGAUUCCCCACAGGUGCAGUGUAUUCAGUCGUACUCAGCUCAGGAGCCUGAUGAACUGUCAGUUGAGAUGGCUGACAUUCUGCUUGUACUUGAAGAAACGAAUGAUGGCUGGAUGAUGGGUGAGCGUCUGCAUGAUGGAGAACGUGGCUGGUUCCCUUGCCGCGUGGUGGAGGACAUAAAGAGCGCUGAUAUACGAGCUCAGAACCUGCGGGAGUGUGAAAGGAUCCAGCAAGCCCAGGGUGGAGGUGGAGCCUCCAGAGGGCGUUGGACCCCCAAAAACACAUCCUACACACCCACCUGGACUGACCAAUCAGAGCAGGAGUUCUGAGCCACACCCCAGACAAACACCACCACUGCAUCAACCUGGGUUAUGUAACCUGAAUCAAAUAAACUUGUGGAGAUCAUGGGGUCAAAGGUCAAAAACAUCAAUUAUGUCUUCAUUUACUUCCUGUAAUGACAAAUCAACAUGGAUGUAGAUCAGGAACAGCAUCUCUGCCAUGAGUGUGUUAAUUGGCUAGCAUGCUGUGACACAGAGAGGGACGACCAAUCCCUGAGCAGCCUCACUUCUCUAUGGUUCUCACAAUUAGUUGGUUAAUUACUGCACACCCAAAUGUCAGUGACACACUUUAUUCAUAGAGACAAGGGGAAGAUGGCAAGGCAAAUUAAUGCAUAUGUGUUUUGCUGCUUGUCUUAAAUCUGUUGUUGUUUACGCCGCAUGACAACUCGCCACAGUAUCGCUGACAGUGAACAAAAUAAAAAAAACUCAGGAGUUAUGAAUGUGCUCAGUCACACAAGCUCAGCUCUACCCUUUGUGGGAAAGAGGUGUGUGUGUGUGUGUGUGUGUGUGUGUGUGUGUGUGUGUGUGUGUGUGUGUGUGUGUGUGUGUGUGUGUGUAUGAACCUGUUUGCUGUUUGGAAUGUUGUUUAAAACCGGACAAUUGAGGAAUGCAGGUUUUGCAUGUCCUGUUGAGAGCUUAAUCCAAUAAACAACCAGUUUUACAGUAAGUGCUUCCUUAAACAGAAAGCUCAUGCAAUUUGUAGUGUGUGUGUGUGUGUGUGUGUGUGUGUGUGUGUGUGUGUGUGUGUGUGUGGCAGGCAAGUCUGGAGGAGAACCGGGAGCUGAUUGAUGGGAUCA